rnacentral:rRNA from 1 species
GACGAACGCUGGCGGCGUGCCUAAUACAUGCAAGUCGAACGUAUUUUCUUUCACCGUAGCUUGCUACACCGAAAGAAAAUGAGUGGCGAACGGGUGAGUAACACGUGGGUAACCUGCCCAUCAGCGGGGGAUAACACUUGGAAACAGGUGCUAAUACCGCAUAAUUCCAUUUACCGCAUGGUAGAUGGAUGAAAGGCGCUUUUGCGUCACUGAUGGAUGGACCCGCGGUGCAUUAGCUAGUUGGUGGGGUAACGGCCUACCAAGGCUGCGAUGCAUAGCCGACCUGAGAGGGUGAUCGGCCACACUGGGACUGAGACACGGCCCAGACUCCUACGGGAGGCAGCAGUAGGGAAUCUUCGGCAAUGGACACAAGUCUGACCGAGCAACGCCGCGUGAGUGAAGAAGGUUUUCGGAUCGUAAAACUCUGUUGUUAGAGAAGAACAAGGAUGAGAGUGGAAAGUUCAUCCCUUGACGGUAUCUAACCAGAAAGCCACGGCUAACUACGUG